rnacentral:pre_miRNA from 1 species
UCUCUGCAGGCUGCCAGCCCUCAGGCUGGGCUGGGCCAGUAUCCUUGGAAAGGCUCACCCUCCAGCACGACUAGGAGC